UACGGAGGGCGCGAGCGUUGUCCGGAAUCACUGGGCGUAAAGGGCGCGUAGGCGGCCCUGGUAAGUCUGCGGUGAAAGUCCGGGGCUCAACCCCGGAUCUGCCGUGCCGACUGUUAGGCUAGAGUACUGUAGGGGCAGGCGGAAUUCCGGGUGUAGCGGUGGAAUGCGUAGAGAUCCGGAGGAAGACCGGUGGCGAAGGCGGCCUGCUGGGCAGUUACUGACACUGAGGGACGAAAGCUAGGGGAGCGAAUGGG
rnacentral:rRNA from 1 species